CAGUCCGGUUGUCCAAUCACUGUUAUUUUUAUUGCGACAAGUCUGCUGUUGGACGCUGGCAUCAGAGUUUAAUAGUACUGACAAAUAUGUCGCUCUUUGAGAGUCUGUUACUCAGUAAUACUAUGGAUUUGUGAGAAGAACACAUAAUUAUUGUGGGAUUACGUUUAUUUGGCGGCCUCUCGGCGUUGUACAGGCCUGGAUAAGUUACAAACCGAGCAGCCUCUUCUACGAACAGUUGGUCAAGCUAGCCGCCUGUAGUAAAAUGACGGAAGACGCAUCGGUGGGCUGCUAGCUGAUUAUUUAUCUUUGAAUUAGCCAGGAACUGGUACAGCUAGCUAACAAGACAAGACCCCACCACCGCUGAAAGGCUGGAGUAUGGAUUUUUGACGGAUACAACGACUUUUCUGUCAUUCUAACCGCAGGAAGAAAAAACAUGACCAACAGUGAAACAUCGGAUUUACUGUGUUUGGAACCUGAACCUCGCAGGAGCUUCCUGACCAACCGUGGGACUGGAUUCAGCUGUUUGUGACUCCGGACAGAUUCUCCUGUUCCAGCGUUUCAUCCGUUUACCCACCAGACGAGGAAGCGUGUUUGCAUCCUGAGGAAUACUCAGUACACAGCUGGCCUUUGGAGUCUCUAUUUCCUACAUAUUAAAGGCACUACUUUUCCCUU